AGAGUUUGAUCAUGGCUCAGAUUGAACGCUGGCGGCAGGCCUAACACAUGCAAGUCGAGCGGUAGCACAGAGAGCUUGCUCUCGGGUGACGAGCGGCGGACGGGUGAGUAAUGUCUGGGAAACUGCCUGAUGGAGGGGGAUAACUACUGGAAACGGUAGCUAAUACCGCAUAACGUCGCAAGACCAAAGUGGGGGACCUUCGGGCCUCAUGCCAUCAGAUGUGCCCAGAUGGGAUUAGCUAGUAGGUGGGGUAACGGCUCACCUAGGCGACGAUCCCUAGCUGGUCUGAGAGGAUGACCAGCCACACUGGAACUGAGACACGGUCCAGACUCCUACGGGAGGCAGCAGUGGGGAAUAUUGCACAAUGGGCGCAAGCCUGAUGCAGCCAUGCCGCGUGUGUGAAGAAGGCCUUCGGGUUGUAAAGCACUUUCAGCGGGGAGGAAGGCGGUGAGGUUAAUAACCUCAUCGAUUGACGUUACCCGCAGAAGAAGCACCGGCUAACUCCGUGCCAGCAGCCGCGGUAAUACGGAGGGUGCAAGCGUUAAUCGGAAUUACUGGGCGUAAAGCGCACGCAGGCGGUCUGUCAAGUCGGAUGUGAAAUCCCCGGGCUCAACCUGGGAACUGCAUUCGAAACUGGCAGGCUAGAGUCUUGUAGAGGGGGGUAGAAUUCCAGGUGUAGCGGUGAAAUGCGUAGAGAUCUGGAGGAAUACCGGUGGCGAAGGCGGCCCCCUGGACAAAGACUGACGCUCAGGUGCGAAAGCGUGGGGAGCAAACAGGAUUAGAUACCCUGGUAGUCCACGCCGUAAACGAUGUCGAUUUGGAGGUUGUGCCCUUGAGGCGUGGCUUCCGGAGCUAACGCGUUAAAUCGACCGCCUGGGGAGUACGGCCGCAAGGUUAAAACUCAAAUGAAUUGACGGGGGCCCGCACAAGCGGUGGAGCAUGUGGUUUAAUUCGAUGCAACGCGAAGAACCUUACCUGGUCUUGACAUCCACAGAACUUUCCAGAGAUGGAUUGGUGCCUUCGGGAACUGUGAGACAGGUGCUGCAUGGCUGUCGUCAGCUCGUGUUGUGAAAUGUUGGGUUAAGUCCCGCAACGAGCGCAACCCUUAUCCUUUGUUGCCAGCGGUUCGGCCGGGAACUCAAAGGAGACUGCCAGUGAUAAACUGGAGGAAGGUGGGGAUGACGUCAAGUCAUCAUGGCCCUUACGACCAGGGCUACACACGUGCUACAAUGGCAUAUACAAAGAGAAGCGACCUCGCGAGAGCAAGCGGACCUCAUAAAGUAUGUCGUAGUCCGGAUUGGAGUCUGCAACUCGACUCCAUGAAGUCGGAAUCGCUAGUAAUCGUAGAUCAGAAUGCUACGGUGAAUACGUUCCCGGGCCUUGUACACACCGCCCGUCACACCAUGGGAGUGGGUUGCAAAAGAAGUAGGUAGCUUAACCUUCGGGAGGGCGCUUACCACUUUGUGAUUCAUGACUGGGGUGAAGUCGUAACAAGGUAACCGUAGGGGAACCUGCGGUUGGAUCACCU
rnacentral:rRNA from 7 species